rnacentral:lncRNA from 1 species
UCGGAGUUUAAGAAGCAUUUGGACUGUGCUGUUGUCAUAUGGUCUGAAUUCUGAUUUUUGGGUAGACCUGUGUGGACCCAGGAGUUGGACUCGAUGUGGGUCCCUUCCAACUCGGGAUAUUCUAUGAUUCUAGUUCACUAGAAGAAUUAAUACAAUAUAGGAUUUCUUUUUCCUCCAAUACUAGGAAUCAUGUAACAUCCAAGUGAGAGGUUCGAGGACCACACAUCUGGACAUUUGCUCAGCAGCAUACUGCCUGCUAAGGGGAAACAAUUUUUAUUUUGUACAUGGUGAGAGAACUCUGAAGUUUCCAGCUAAUGGCUGCUUGAAGGUACCAAGUGAAGAUGAACUACUUAACUUCAAGAUUAGUCUAAACCUAAGAAGAAUCCUGCUCUGAAACGCUGUCAUGAUAAAAGAUCAGCAGCCCAAAACACAUGAAGAUGGACCUUCCAGAGGGCCAGCAAGGAUACUUUUGCAAAUAACUUAUGAAAGCCUCUGAUAUCAUCCUGGUGAACUCAGUAACACAUCAUCAUUGUCUUAAAAAUGGAAACAUUACUUUGUGUUUAGGUGAUUAACAGUGACAUCAGGAAAACAGGCUUCCAUGGGCAAAGACUGGAAAACAGAAUUUCCUUCUGUCUCAAGUUAAUGCAAGACAAUUAGUGUUGAUUAAAUUACACCAGAGCUGGUAGUUGUGGAUUUGAUCAAGUGCAGAUAUCUGAACAAAAAAUAUUUGUGAAAACUGAAACCAAUAUCGUCCUUAAAUUGAGGACCAUGUGUAAAGGGGAAAAAAAUACGAGGCCCAAAUAUUUUGGCAAGUCCUUAUUUUUGAAAAAAUAGCUAACAAACACCAUGGGGAUAAAUGUUUUUGUUAAUGUUGUGUUGAAGAUAAUUAGUUUUCCUAAAGACACAAGGGAGGAGAUCGGGUAAUGCAUGUUUUUAAUGAUGAUGAAUGGACUUUCCAUAGAUUACUUUCUUAAAACCUUUAUCUGUU